UACGUAGGGUGCGAGCGUUGUCCGGAAUUACUGGGCGUAAAGAGCUCGUAGGCGGUUUGUCGCGUCUGCUGUGAAAAUCCGGGGCUCAACCCCGGACUUGCAGUGGGUACGGGCAGACUAGAGUGUGGUAGGGGAGACUGGAAUUCCUGGUGUAGCGGUGAAAUGCGCAGAUAUCAGGAGGAACACCGAUGGCGAAGGCAGGUCUCUGGGCAGUUACUGACGCUGAGGAGCGAAAGCAUGGGUAGCGAACAGGAUUAGAUA
rnacentral:rRNA from 1 species